rfam:Salmo salar isolate Sally breed double haploid chromosome ssa27, whole genome shotgun sequence.
UCCCGUGUGGCUCAGUUGGUAGAGCAUGGUGUUUGCAAUGCCAGGGUGGUGGGUUCGAUUCCCACGGGGGAC